CCCAUUACCUGGGGCACCCAGCCCCAUGAAACCCCAUAAAAAGAAGAAAAGGGGAUAAUUUGGGGCGUCAAACUAGGCUGAGCGCAGGAUCCCGUGAACCCCACUGCCCCAUGGGGUACCAGCAUCCUCGGGCUCUUUAUGCUUGGGUUCUUUCCCACCACCCGCGUGCCCCGGGCUCCUUUCCUUAUUGCCCUUUAAUAGCCCUGCUCAGGAAGCACGCUGCUGCCUUUAUGGCCGGGUUAAUGAGUGGUGAAGGUGCUGCCACCUCCUCUGCUCCUCUCCCCGCUGCAGCCCCAGCCCCGCUCACCAGCACCGUGGGGAGAACCCGACCCCGAUGCCCGGCUGCUCGCCACGCUGCCGGGGAGAUCCAGACGUUGGAUGGGGUCAUCCAGCUGUGGGAUGGGGCAGAAAACCCCCACCGUGCAAAUCCCUUUUGGGGUGGGAUUUAGGAGCACCCCAACACCCCAUUUCACCCAGAUAUUUGCAUGGGGGCAAUGGGGAACCUUCUCCAGCUGUGCCCCCACCCCACAGUCCUUGCUUAUCCAGCCGUUCCCCAUCCAGCUGCGCACCCCAUCCAGCUGUUCUCCACCCAGAUAUUUCCCCAUCCAGCUGUGCGACCCCAUCCAGCUGUUCUCCCAUCCAGAUGUGGCCCCCAUCCUGCUCUCCUUCCCCAUCCACCUGCGCAUCCCCAUCCAGCUGUGCCCCCAACCAGCUAUUCCCAGUCCAGGUGUGCCCCUAUCCAUCUGUUCCCCAAUCCAGCUGUGCAUCCCAAAUCCAGCUGUACCCUGUUCAUAUAUUACCCCCAUCCAGCUGCUCCCCAUCCAGCUGCUCCCCAUCCAGCUGUGCACCCCAAAUCCAGCUGCUCCCCAUUCACAUAUUUCCCCCAUCCCGCUAUUCCCCAUCCAACUGUGACCCCCAUACAUCUGUUCACCGAUCCAGCCACGCACCCCAAAUCCAGCCACGCACCCCAAACCCAACUGCGCAUCCCAAAUCCAUCCACACACCCCAAAUCCAUCCACACACCCCAAAUCCCGUUGCGCAUCCCA
rnacentral:lncRNA from 1 species